AAGCAGUGAAAAUAAAUUGUCUGUAUUUCUCUCUAUUCUUAUCAUGAGUCCACCUUAAUCAUUUUCUACAAUAAUGAUAUGCUAUGGUGUACUAAAGACAGUCAAUGUUCGACUGUGGUGUUUGCAAUAAAUGACUCGAGAAGGUCUUGUAAAUUAAUGAUUCCUUGUCGGCUGAAUCGGUAGCGCUCAUACAAGAAUAAUGGAUCUUGGCGAUCGCAAAGAACUCUCUCCCUCCGCUAAUCUAACUCUAAUAUCAGUCCUUGGUCAAUGGGAUCCCUCCUUUUUCCGGGGGUGUGGCAAACUUAUCCAGCUACACUUAAGUUAGCCUGCCCUGGAGCAGGUUAGUGCUAAUCGAUAUGUAACUAUGGUGAUUUAUCAAAAGUUGCUUCCACGAACCAAAAAGAGGGGCGUUUUUUUUAUCUUAGCCUGAAAAUUAGCUCGCUAAACCGCUUAGCGAGCUACGACGAAUACCCCCCAGGAGUUGGGAGUGCUACCAAACACACAACAAGUUCUGAUUGCGUAAAAGUUUAGAUAACACAAAUAAACUUCACAUUCAGCCUCUCGACGCCUGUUUGUGGAUCGUUGCUAGUUUCUCCGCAACAUAUCAUUUGUAAACAUGAACUAUGUCAAACUCAAUAGUUAGUCAGAAAGAAACAAGACACAAUUCAGACAUGAUUAAUUAGAGAAUAUUAUACUCUUAUAUUAUAUUAUAUUAUAAGCAUGAUAAGUGAGAGAGGGACAUUUAUAUUUCUGUCAUGUCUGUGCGAUAUAGCCCAUACCUCGAAACUGCAAUGAAAGACGCCAGUUAUAAUGUUGGUUGGUGGUAUAAUGUCAACAUGUCUUUUUUACUGAGAUUAUCUUAUCUCACGUGUAACAAAUAGUCGCCACACUGAAACUCGACUCGAUAUGACUGCACAUCUCAGUCAAGCAUUGUGCAUGUUCUAACCUGUUAGCAAGGGCACUGACAUGAAAAUCAACAGGUAACGCAGCCACCACACACACUCAACGCAGGCAGUGUGAAACGGGCCCUAAUGUGCCAUAGUAUCUGAACAUGCUUCACAUGCAGGUCUGUCAAUGUCUGUGGAAUGGUGUGGGGCUCAUGUUGUGACUGAGGUUGGUUCUCCUGUUGAGGUCUCUAGUCCAUAGCCAAAGACCGGUCUGAGGGUGUCCUGAUGCAGGUGUUUGACAGUAACAGUCUCUGUAGUCACAGACUGGUGGAUUGGCAGUCUCUCAUGGAGACAGUGUUGGGAGUACAGCAGGCCCGUCCUCUGUAAUCCAUCUGCCGUCUCUGGAACACUGUUACUGAUGUCUCUAGAACACUGGAGUAGGCAGCCAGUUCUAGGGCAGGGAAUCACCCGCUAACGACUCUGCUUCAGCUUCUCCAGGAGCUCCAACUGAAAAGACAGGCCAAUAAUGGUCACUCCUUAUGCAGUGUUUACACAAUAAAGACAGUGAUCAAAGGUUAUCUCACUGAGUCACAUUCAAUCACAUUACAAUCACACUGAAGCCUCAAAAAAGCAAACAAAAGCAAAAAGAUAUAAGUCUGAAAUAGGGUACUGUUAAAUGAGAAACCUACAACCUUAUGACCUUACAAAAGCUUUCCUGUCACCAUAAUCACCAUAAAUUAUAAGGUAGGCCACUUAAUUAAAAUUGGAAUAUAAUAACAUGAAAUGUUUAAUUAAAAAGUAUUUUACGUGCUGUUGUUAUUAUAGAAAUGUUCACGCCUCAAGUCAUUUUAUUUUGAGGAGGCCAGGUGUCCUCUAGGAGUCGCCACUGAUCAGAAGUCAUAAAAAAAAGCAUAUGAGAAUAUGUAAAAAAAAUUAUUUUGUCCUUCGUCUAAUGCUAAUAAGCAGCUUCUGGUUGAUAUGUUGUGUCUGCUUUAGGUUAGCAAACAUUUUACUAACUUUAACUUCAGAUAGUAGUAGCUAACCCUAAUCCUAACCCUAGAUUAAGAUAUGUGGAAUAAUUGGGCAAAGCAAUUAAUAUUACAAUUGUUUUAAAGUGAAAUCAAUUUUUGCUAAUUUUCAAGUUUAAUCAACUUAUUUUUUUUAAGGCAAUCGGUUUCCUACAUUUUUUAAGUAAAUUCAACUUAUCCGAAGUUACAGUGUACACUGUGUCAGAAUGAAAUGAUUUGAGAAGUGAAAGUGUACUUUCACAUCACUAUAUGUCAAUAAUGCACAUGAAUGCUGCCGAGGGGGAGACAAACACACAUCAAACACAGUCCAUUGAGAGCAAAUCAAACUUACACAUAGGAAUAAGAAACCUUCAUGGUCCUUGUCUUGUCAAUAUGUAAUGCCUCUCUCUGCACAUAUUGAAUUGCAAAUGUUCAAAUAUUUUGAUUUAUAUUUAUAUUGAUUUAGAUGUUUUUGCUUUGCAUGCACUGGUAUUUCCUUUAGGCAAUGCAAAUCUAGUUAAUUAAAGAUGUGUUCCUGUAGGUUACUUUAUUUAUGAAAAUAAACAUUAAAGAUGUGUUGCUGUAGGUUACUUUAAUUAUGAAAAUAAACAUUAAAGAUGUGUUCCUGUAGGUUACUUUAUUUAUGAAAAUAAAAAUAAAUACUGUUGGUGAGAGGGACACUCUUUUUGUAGCUCGAGCUCCUGUCCCCUAAAAUGUGUGUGCAUGGCCCUGACAUACACAUACGCACACACGGACGGACAUAUACAACAUUGUAUAUAUAUAUACAAAAGAGUACUAACCAUAGUCUAGACUUAGGUUUAUGGGUUGCUGUUGGUGGCGGCUUCUCUGCUUCAGUAACAACCAUGACAAUGUUAUGUUUAAACCCAGAGAUGUCAACAGUAUGACCAGCAUACCAUAUCCAGAUGUCGCUGAAGCACAAAACACAUUGAGCAGAACACUGUCACACAGAGAUCCAGAUGUCGCUGAAGCACAAAACACAUUGAGCAGAACACUGUCACACAGAGAUCCAGAUGUCGCUGAAGCACAAAACACAUUGAGCAGAACACUGUCACACAGAGAUCCAGAUGUCGCUGAAGCACAAAACACAUUGAGCAGAACACUGUCACACAGAGAUCCAGAUGUUGCUGAAGCACAAAACACAUUGAGCAGAACACUGUCACACAGAGAUCCAGAUGUCGCUGAAGCACAAAACACAUUGAGCAAAACACUGUCACACAGAGAUAACAAAGGUCAUGAGUGUGUUUGGAGAGAUUCAAAACUGCUGCAAGUGCCCUGCGACAGAGUAAUUGCAAAAUCAUUGCUCACCAUAUCUGAUUCACACCACCCACUGAGUAUGUACUUUUGAGUGAAUAAAACCUGGAGGGUAUGUACUUUUGAGUGAAUAAAUAUGUGAGGCUGUCAUUUCAAUGUCUACCAAAAACUGUGGAUACUUCAAAAUCCAAGAAUUGGGUGAAUGGGGAUGGGAGAGGGGGACUUAAAGUCACAGGAGCUCUGAUAGAUUCUUUCAGACAGAGGUUGAAUAGAUAUGUCUGAGGAAAAAAGUUGUUUUUGUAACACUGAAGCAUGUAAAUCUAUUCUAAGAGACCAAAAUUAAAUUAUGAUGCAUAAUGGGUCCUCUUUAAACAGACAAAGGAGUGUGCUAUGGGGGGCUUUCAAUAGUCCUUCUUAUGGAGGUCCUACACCUGGGUACAUGGUAAGAAGACCUUGUGUUAAACCAUGACAGAAACAGCUUUUUGAAGUACAUCUGAUGGGGACUGAACAUUGAUGAUGAUCCAUCUGUUUGGGUCUUGUUCAGAAACAGAGCUACAGGGUUUGGACUAUAUUAACCCUAACAUCAAGCUGUCUCUGGAGUACAGCAAGGAGAGCGUACAUUUUUUAGGUCUUAUGAGCACUUACAUUUUAUAUCUUAUCUUUAAAUCAAGGGAUUUUGUGUACAUCUAUAUUUAGGAGAGCAACAAACAGAAAUACCAUACUUCAUGACAGAAGCUUCAAUACCAGUUGGCUAAAAGGGAACGUGAAAUGUCUCAUGGCUAGUUCAAACGAGUGGAGAAUUUGUGACCAAGAGUUUGAUGCCAAAUCUAAGGAUAUGGUAUCACGCUUUCAGGAAUGGGGAUAUAAAAACACUAAACGGCCAAAAACAUCACUAACACUCUGGUUUAGUGACCUGAUGUUAUUCCUAAAAUUAGAUCAAAUAAGAGGAUCAUCUAAAUCACUAAAUCAUUCCUGAAAAUCUGGAUCCCCUGAAGUUGUACAUAAGACUCUCCCAUCAGAUGAAGAGAGUUAAUGAUUAAGCAGUGGACCUGACUGUUUUGCACUAUACAAAUGUAUUAUCCUCCUGCUCUUCCCUCCCUUUGGGGGGAAGUAUGUGUUGGGUUGGGAUGGACAGUGUUGUGCAGGUUCACACCUCUCAUGAACUAGUUCAAAGUUCAGUUCAUACAAGUAAACAUGAAUCGUUCACGUUCAUAGUUCACCAUUUAAAUUCUGAACUAGUUCAUAGUUCAGUUCAUUUUCAUUUUUUUUUUUUAUUAUUGCUAAUUUUUCAGGAGGACAUAAUUUGCACAGAAAGGUGAGAUUUUUUACUGUCGGAAACUUUAUCAGACAGUGUGUAAAAAUCCUGCACAUAAUAAUAAGGUGGAUCGGAUGUAGGCCUACUCGCUGAGUCUGCGCCUCUGUUUUCGCUUUCACUUGCCAUUUUUAUAUUGACACCGAGAGCUGUUGCCUUGGAAUACGUUGCUUGUUUGGUAUACAUGUGUGUGCGAUGAUUCAUGGGUAAUGUAGGGCGAAGUGGAGUUAGUUGGUUUAGGUAUCGCAGAAAUUAUACGGGUACUGUUAUAGAGGGAAAUGUGUAAUCACUGAGGGUCAUCCGAUUAGAAUGGAAAAGAAUGGAGACUUGGAUAUUCAGUUUGAUUCUUCACUCUUUGUAUUGCAUUAACAACAAUGAAUGGGAUAAAUUGUAGGUGGGUGUAUGUUUGUAUGUGUGUGUGUGUGUGUGAGUGAAAGUAAAGUACAAACAGAAAAUAUACAUUAAUACACAGCCGUGUAGUAGCCUACCAUUUAAAUAAUGAAUUAUACAGGGAACUAAAGGUAAUAAUUUAACCUCUUCAGCAAUGCCAUGCUACUGGCUUAAUCUCAGAUCAACAAGGCCAUGUACACUAAAUGAAAGACCGCGCAAAAGUUAGCAUAGGUAAACCCUGUAACACUCGUAUUUGUACAUUAGCAGCUUAUGCUAAGCGAGUUCACGAACAGUGCAUCAUGCUAGAUUAAUUAAGUGACAGUGCUCGUAACAAUUAUGAGAAAGCUAAACUAUAACAAACACAUAAUGACAAGGUAGGCUACAAAGUCAAACUCACGUGUACAUGGACGCACACAACUUCAACAAAGUGCAACGUUCAACUAGAAAAUGCAUUUCCUGAAGGAAAUACCAGUGCAUGAAAUGCAAAAGUUAAGAAAGGAAGAAGAAAAGAAAGAAGAGUGAAAGAAGGAAAGAAGAAAGGAAAGAAGAGUAAAAGAAGGAAAGAAGAGUGGAAGAAGGAAAUAAUAAAGGAAAGAAUAAAGGAAACAAGAAUGAAGAAAAGAAAGAAGAGUGAAAGAAGGAAAGAAGCGAAGAAAGAAAAGAAGAGUGGAAGAAGAAAAGAAGAGUGGAAGAAGGAAAGAAGAGUGGAAAAAAGGAAAGAAGAGUGAAGAAAGAAAAGAAGAGUAGAAGAAGGAAAGAAGAGUGGAAGAAGGAAAGAAGAAAGGAAAGGAGAGUGGAAGAAGGAAAGAAGAGUGGAAGAAGGAAAGAAGAAAGGAAAGGAGAGUGGAAGA
ensembl:lncRNA